rnacentral:rRNA from 1 species
GAUGAACGCUAGCUACAGGCUUAACACAUGCAAGUCGAGGGGCAGCAUGGUCUUAGCUUGCUAAGGCCGAUGGCGACCGGCGCACGGGUGAGUAACACGUAUCCAACCUGCCGUCUACUCUUGGACAGCCUUCUGAAAGGAAGAUUAAUACAAGAUGGCAUCAUGAGUCCACAUGUUCACAUGAUUAAAGGUAUUCCGGUAGACGAUGGGGAUGCGUUCCAUUAGAUAGUAGGCGGGGUAACGGCCCACCUAGUCUUCGAUGGAUAGGGGUUCUGAGAGGAAGGUCCCCCACAUUGGAACUGAGACACGGUCCAAACUCCUACGGGAGGCAGCAGUGAGGAAUAUUGGUCAAUGGGCGAGAGCCUGAACCAGCCAAGUAGCGUGAAGGAUGACCGCCCUAUGGGUUGUAAACUUCUUUUAUAAAGGAAUAAAGUCGGGUAUGGAUACCCGUUUGCAUGUACUUUAUGAAUAAGGAUCGGCUAACUCCGUGCCAGCAGCCGCGGUAAUACGGAGGAUCCGAGCGUUAUCCGGAUUUAUUGGGUUUAAAGGGAGCGUAGAUGGGUGUUUAAGUCAGUUGUGAAAGUUUGCGGCUCAACCGUAAAAUUGCAGUUGAUACUGGAUAUCUUGAGUGCAGUUGAGGCAGGCGGAAUUCGUGGUGUAGCGGUGAAAUGCUUAGAUAUCACGAAGAACUCCGAUUGCGAAGGCAGCCUGCUAAGCUGCAACUGACAUUGAGGCUCGAAAGUGUGGGUAUCAAACAGGAUUAGAUACCCUGGUAGUCCACACGGUAAACGAUGAAUACUCGCUGUUUGCGAUAUACAGCAAGCGGCCAAGCGAAAGCGUUAAGUAUUCCACCUGGGGAGUACGCCGGCAACGGUGAAACUCAAAGGAAUUGACGGGGGCCCGCACAAGCGGAGGAACAUGUGGUUUAAUUCGAUGAUACGCGAGGAACCUUACCCGGGCUUAAAUUGCAGAUGAAUUACGGUGAAAGCCGUAAGCCGCAAGGCAUCUGUGAAGGUGCUGCAUGGUUGUCGUCAGCUCGUGCCGUGAGGUGUCGGCUUAAGUGCCAUAACGAGCGCAACCCUUGUUGUCAGUUACUAACAGGUUCCGCUGAGGACUCUGACAAGACUGCCAUCGUAAGAUGUGAGGAAGGUGGGGAUGACGUCAAAUCAGCACGGCCCUUACGUCCGGGGCUACACACGUGUUACAAUGGGGGGUACAGAGGGCCGCUACCACGCGAGUGGACGCCAAUCCCAAAAACCUCUCUCAGUUCGGACUGGAGUCUGCAACCCGACUCCACGAAGCUGGAUUCGCUAGUAAUCGCGCAUCAGCCACGGCGCGGUGAAUACGUUCCCGGGCCU